rnacentral:rRNA from 1 species
UAAGGAAUAUUGGUCAAUGGGCGGAAGCCUGAACCAGCCAUGCCGCGUGCAGGAAGACGGCCCUACGGGUUGUAAACUGCUUUUGUACCGGAAUAAACCCCUGUAUGUAUAGGGGGCUGAAUGUACGGUAAGAAUAAGGAUCGGCUAACUCCGUGCCAGCAGCCGCGGUAAUACGGAGGAUCCAAGCGUUAUCCGGAUUUAUUGGGUUUAAAGGGUGCGUAGGCGGCUUUUUAAGUCAGGGGUGAAAGACGGUAGCUUAACUAUCGCAGUGCCCUUGAUACUGAAGAGCUUGAAUAUACUAGAGGUAGGCGGAAUGUGACAAGUAGCGGUGAAAUGCAUAGAUAUGUCACAGAACACCAAUUGCGAAGGCAGCUUACUAUGGUAUUAUUGACGCUGAGGCACGAAAGCGUGGGGAUCAAACAGGAUUAGAUACCCCGGUAGUCC